CGUAGGGGGCUAGCGUUGUCCGGAAUCAUUGGGCGUAAAGCGCGUGUAGGCGGUCCGGUAAGUCCGCUGUGAAAGUCGGGGGCUCAACCCUCGAAUGCCGGUGGAUACUGUCGGGCUAGAGUGCGGAAGAGGCGAGUGGAAUUCCUGGUGUAGCGGUGAAAUGCGCAGAUAUCAGGAGGAACACCAAUUGCGAAGGCAGCUCGCUGGGACGUAACUGACGCUGAGACGCGAAAGCGUGGGGAGCAAACAGGAUUAGAUACCCUGGUAGUCCACGCUGUAAACGAUGGGCACUAGGUGUGGGGGGUGUCGACUCCCUCCGUGCCGAAGCUAACGCAUUAAGUGCCCCGCCUGGGGAGUACGGCCGCAAGGCUA
rnacentral:rRNA from 1 species